ACUGAAGUCACCAGACCCAAAUAGGUUUACUCAUCAUUACAAAAUAAGAAAAUUAAAGACCAAUAUCUCUUAUGAAGAUAGAUGCAAAAAUCCUCAAAAAAAGAAACCUAAGCAAAUCAAAACCCAAAAUGUAUAAAAAGGAUUAUACACCAUGACCAAGCGGGAUAUACCCCAGGUAUGCAAAGCUGGCUCAACUUUAAAAAACCAAUUAACUAAUCCAUCACAUCAACAGGCUAAAAAAGAAAAAUCACAUGGUCAUAUCAAUAGAUGCAGAAAAAGCAUCUGACAAAAUCAAAAACACAUUCAUGAUAAAAAAUUCUCACUAAACUAGGAAUAGAAGGGAACUUCCUUAACUUGACAAAUAAUAUUUCAAAAAACCUAUAGCUAACAUCACAUUCAAUGAUAAGAAACUUAAAAUUUCCCAGUAAGAUCAGACACAAGGCAGG
rnacentral:lncRNA from 1 species